ensembl:miRNA Mir7222 microRNA 7222
GGCACUUGCCAGGCUCUGAGCUGGACUACAUACUCUGUGCUGAAGUGUCUCAUCCAGGACAGUGGGCAGGAGCAG